GUAGACACCAGAAACUACUAGAGAAGGGAGGGAAGGAAGUGUCACGGAUUGAAAAGUUAACUACUGGGUACUAUGAUCAGUCAUUGGGUGGGAUCAUUAGUACCCCAAACCUCAGCAUCACACAAUAUGUCCAUGUAACAAAUCUGUACAUGUGCACCCCACAUCUAAAAUAAAAGAAGAAAUUAUUUUAAAAAUUAUUAAAGAAAAGAAAUAGAGAUAUCAGAAUUUCCUUAGUAUAAUGGAGAAACUUGGGGAAAUAGGAUGGCUGAAGUAAAUUUUCUCUGAGAGGCAAUUGACUCAAUCACCCUGUAGUUCUGUUUUCUGAGAGGUCCUAGUUUAUAGCCCCUUCCCCACAGAAUUGAGAAAUAAAUUAGUAUAGAUAAAUGUAUUAGUAGAAACCCUGUAGUGCCUGUUCUCUGUAGACCAAGGAUAAAGAUGAGAAAUAGUGACGCUGAAACAGACUGUCUGAUUUCAAUGGGGUUAUAGAAUCCCUUGGUAACAGAGGCAAAGUAGCAGCACUUAAUGAAAAGGGACAAGAUUAUAACAGUUACUCUAACAGGCAGCAGAGCCAAAGUGGUAAUAGAAAUGCUUUGAUCUGCAGUUAUUUUUGGCAAUAACUAAUUGAUCAUUACAUUUCUAGAACUGAAAUAGAUGAACAUUUCAUUAAUUCUCUACUUGACCUGUAUUAUCAGAAACGAUAAAAAUUUAUCUAUAUUAGAAAGGUCAAAGUGGAAGACUUUGCAACUGGAGAAAUUUUCAGAAAUAUAAGUCUAUCGUAAUUAUAAACAGGGAAUUUCUUAAGCCACAUGGACAGAAACUCGGAGAGUAAGUUAUAAUCUUGAUGACAAAAAGAUCUGGGGAGAAGACUCAUGAAUGAAUCUCUUGAAAUAAUCCCAGAAUGGGAGAUUGUUUGCUUUUUGUGUAAAUGGUCAUCUAAUAGAAUCCUCUUCUGAGCAGACUCUUGGUCAGGUAGAUCACAUGAUCACACUGUGGAUGUCUGUUUCUUUCUUUAACUCUUCCAUUUCAUGACCAUUGAGCUCAUAAACAAAGUGGGGAUAAUGGUGGAGACUCAAGAUUUCUCCUCACUGAAGUUUUUGCCUGGCUUCUUACAUUGUAGUGUGCCAAAUAUGGCAUUUACAGGGAAGAAUGGUGAACCCUUGUGUCACAUCAUAUUACAUGAGACAAAUCAGCCACCUGGGAACAAGUGAACCCAUUUCAUUACGUGUUUCAGCUGCCUAAACAGAACCUGAAUGUUGCAGAUUAAAUGAAGAAAAUAGUCACAUAUCCAGGACGGAAUAUAAAGGUCAUCAUAUUUAUAACUACCAAAGAGUUCUGGAGAAUGAAGUGAAUGUCCUGGUGGCCUUGUAUGAUACCCCCAGUUAUGAAUUCUGAGAUAACAGGUUAUUCUGGAGUCCUAUUUUUAACUCCUUCAAUUACCUAAUAAGCAAGACGAUAAAACUGAAACUUACGGUGGCAAUUUGGAAACCUAAAGGUCUAUAAGAGUUGGAAGAAAAAAAAAGUUUCCUCUCUUUGUGGCAGUAGAUUUAGCUCAAGAAAUGAGAAGUGAGGUGUGGUAGUCUUUGUGUUUUGAGAGUAGCAAGAGAGCAAGUCAGCAGGCCUGUUGGAGAGUGAGCCUGGGACGCAUGCAGAGCAGGGAGAGCUAGAGGGUUCAGAGGCCCUUUCAUGAUACUGACAAGAGGGCUCAGAAGCCAGCAUAGCCUAGACAACAAACAAACAAACAAAUCAACCAAAGCAUGUCCUAGAGAAUUAUCAAAUGUGUUUGUUGAAUUGAAUUAAAAUAGGUAGAUAAAAUGAAAAUCAGUAUUGGUUUAUUAACUUUAACUAUGAAGGUUAGUAUUGGUUUAUUAACUUUAGAUCAGGUUUAUUUAAGGACAUUAUUACACAGUGCUUAGACUUUUAUCCUUUACCUUUGGAGGUGGGCAUUUUAUGCAUCAGCAUGCCUAAUACUUGUUAGGGAUUAGUGGAAUUAACAGAGCAUCACCUGGUUGGCCUCUGGUGCCCCCUUCUCAGUUGAUAUUGCCCCAAAUCAUCUCCUAGAGACCCAGGUUGUAGACUCACGGGAUAAGAGGAGAGAAUUAUCCAUUCUACACUCUAUACUAAUAAGCUUCCAAAACUUGUAUUAUCUUUGGAAAUCCUUACCUCCUACCUGAAGGACAAAGUGGCUGAGGGUAUAGAGGCUAGUUUUCAGUCUUUUAUGACAAUGUUAAACAACAAUGAUUUUCCUCCAUAAUAAUCACCUACAUGACGGGUUGAUGGGUGCAGCAAACCACCGUGGCACAUGUAUACCUAUGUAACAAACCUGAACGUUCUGCACAUGUAUCCCGGAACUUAAAGUGAAAAAAAAAAAAAAAAAGCUGUAUGCCACAAACACACAAUAAAAUAAAAUAAAUAAUCACCCAAGGGCACAAUGCUACUGUCAUUUUCUUGACCUCAUUUCACAGAAUUCUUUGAAAAAGACUUGAAUAUUAUUCUUAGAUAAUUUCUCACUAGCCUGCAAAGAAACUUAUAAUUUUGAGUUUUAAAGUUUCUAUCCUGAAAUUUUAGCAAAAAAAUGUCCCCCGAGGACUGUUGGCAAAAAAAAUCUCACAUCUCUACUAUUACCUUACACUUCUUACCAAGUUAACAUUGUUAUGAUCAAUAGCAUCAGAUGCUAUAUGCUUGGAAUUGUUUUUAAUAAAUCAAUUUCCAUUAUGAUGCUCUUCAAAUAUGGAAAUACAAAGUGUUGCUAGCAAAGAUAGUCUGCUGGUUUAUUAAAAUUAAAUUUAUUAAAAUUCAGAAGUUGCUAAAAGAGGAAUGUUACUGGCUUAUCAAUAUUUGAAGCUUUCAGUUUUUUCCUACAAGAUUUACUUAUUAUACAAGCACAAAGGAUUACAUGAAAGGGAAACGUUUUAUCUGAAGUUGCGCAGGUAUGCAUUAUUUAGAAAGGUUGUGCAAAUUUGUGUGUAGAGGAGAUGAAGUAGGAGUGUUGUUAUUGCUCUUUAAAACACACUGAACUGGAUUUAACUUCAUUGCCACAGUAAGAUAAGAAAGUCAGUUGGUCAGAGGAAAAAGUCAUCGGGAAGAGUUAAGUUGCAGACCUCUCACUUCAGAGAAUCUCAACUCAUCAGUGCUGCAGUGAACCAGUCAAAUAAGAUCUGAGGCUUCCACACAGAGGAGCCCUUCAAAGACUUGCCUUAAAACUGCUGGGUCUCCUCAGAUCAUUGUUCCUUCAGUGACUUCCCUGGCAUUGAUAUUAGUGUCCUCUGUCCCUGCUGAAUGCUGCACACAACCCUGCAGUGGUGAGUGAAACCGUACAGCAGUAGACUGUCUAGAACAAGCUGCUCAUUAAAAAAAGCAGAAUCCAAAUGCAUAUCAAACACAACUUUAACUUUGGAAGAAACCUUACAGACCACGUUUUUAUGUUCUCUCUAGUAGAACACCUGCUUUGAUCAUCAAGUGACAUGGAGCCUAUGGACCUGAAAGAAAACAAUUACAUUAUGUUAUGAAUGCAUUCAUUCAUUGUUAUGUUAUUAUGAAAUAUAAAAUUGUGUUCUCUGUUAUUGAUAUGAAGUCUUUGUGUAAACUUCCAUACAUUGGUAUGUGCUUGCUUUGAGGUUACCAAUUUUAAAGUAAUUCUGGUUUUGCUUUUAUAAGCACCUCUUCUAUAUUUUAGGACUGCUCUCAACAUUCUCAUUAAGUAUUCUCAAUUCCACUACAAAUAUUCUAGUUUAUUGUAACAUUUCUUACAUAAAACAGCAAGGUCUCUUAGUGUUAUAGCCACCAUUCUCAAAAUUCUGUACAGUUUUAUCACAGUUCAUUUAAAACAUGGUAACCAGACAUAAAUAUAAUACACGGUACAGAUCACGGAAGAGGUAAAGCAAAAUGGUGGAAUAGAAGGCUCCACUCCUCCCUCAAGGACACCAAUUUAACAACUGUUGACACAGAAAAAAACACCUUCAUAACAGCCAGAAAUCAGAUGAGCCUUCCUCAUACCUGGUGUCAUCUUUGUAUCACUGAAAUAGGCACAGACAACAUUGACAAAACAAACAGCCUUGAAUUGCCAACGCCGCUUAUCCACCAACCCCAGCAGCCUAGGCAUGGUGCAGAGAGCAUCUCUGGGCCCUGCAGGUGGGAGAACACAACAAUUGUGAGACAUUGAACUCAGUGCUAUCCUGUUAAGCAGAAUGGAAGACCAGACCAAAUUCACCUGACACCCAUCCAUGGAGGGAGCAUUUAAACCCGCACUCACCGGAGGAUAAUUGCCAGUUCCAGAGGUCUGAACUUGACUUCCCACAAACUCUGCCGCCAAGGGCCACAGUGCUCUGUGUCUCUAAGUAAACUUAAAAGGCAGUGUAGGCCAUACAGACUGCAAUUCUUCGGUAAGUUCUAGUCCUCAAAUGAGCCGCCCAGACACAGUGGAUUGGGUGGAGGGCAUGCGACCUACUGAGACAUCAACCAGAGUGGUUAAGGGAGUGCUGGCAUCACCCCUCCCCUAAGCCCAGCCUGCUUCAAAAGAGAUCCCUUCCUUCUGCUUGAGGACAGGAGAGGUAAGAGUGGAGAGAACUUUGUCUUGCAUCUUGGAUACCAGCUCAGCCACAGAAGGAUAGGGCACUGGUCUGAUUUGUGAGGCCCUCAUUCCAAGACCUAGCUCCUGGAAGACAUUUCUAGACACACUCUUGGUGAGACGGGAACCCACUACCUUGAAGGGAAGGGCCCAGUUCUGGCAAGCUUCAUCAUUUGCUUACUGAAGAGCUCUUGGGCCCUGAAUAACCAGCAACAAUACCCAGGUACUAUAUUGAGGGCCUUGGGUGAGGCUCUGAGUCUUCCCUGCUUCAGGUGAGAUACAGCAUAUCAUCAGCUGUGGUGGCUAUGCGGUGAAACUCCUUUGGCUUGUGAAAAGCAGAGGCAAAAGUAAUGGGGAAUUUGUCUUACACCUUAUGUACCAUCAUGGCCACAGGGGCAUAGAGCACCAGGCAGGUUCUUGGGGUCCCAAUUCCAGGAAUUGAGUCAUGGAUGGCAUUUCUGGACUAGUAGGGGAGCCUAUUGUCCUGAAGAGUGAGUCCCAGGCCAGGCAGAAUUCACCUUGGGCUUUAAGGGAACAUCUGCAAUAGUCUUGUAGUACUCCUUGUGGCUUGUGGUAGCAGUGGGUAUGGGAUGAGGCUCCUCUGUUUUUGGAAAGAGUGGGAAGAGCUGCGUCUUGUGGUGUGAGUGCCAGCUCAGCUGCAGUACAGUAGAACACCAGGUAGACUUUUAGGGUUUUUGGCUCUGGUUGCUGUCUCCUGGAUAGCAUCUCUGGACCCACUCAAGGCCUGGGAGAGCUCGGUGCCCUGAAGGAAAGGACACGAGCCUGGUUGGCUUUGCUGCCUGCUGAAUGUAGAGGCCCAGGACCUUGAGUGAACAUAGGCAGUAGCCAGGGAGUAGUUACAGUAUCUCUUGGGUGAGAUCCAGGACUGUGCUGGCUUCAUAUCUGACCCAGCAUAGUCAUAGUGGUAGUGUACACAGGAGUGCUUGUGUCACUCUACUACAAGGUUUAGGUGGCUCAGAACAGAGAGAUGAGACUGUUUGUUUGGAAGAAAGUAAGAGAAGCAAACAAGAGUCUCUGCCUAGUAAUACAGAUAAUUCUCCCAGAUUUUGUCCAAGAUCAUCAAAGUGGUACCUCUACAAGUCUGCAAGAAUCACAGUAUUACUGGUCUCGGGGUGACUCCAAAAGCAGAAACAGCUUACAUCACAGCACUCAAGUCCUUUCAAAUACCUGAAAAGCUUUCAUAAAAAGGAUGGGUACAAAUAAGCCAAGACAAUGAAGACUACAAUAAACACCUAACUCUUCAAUGACCAGACACCAAAGAACGUCUACUAGCAUCAACACCAUUCAGGAAAAGAUGGCCUCACCAAAUGAACUAAACAAGGCACCAGGGACCAAUCUUGGAGAAACAGAGAUGUGUGACCAUUCAGAGAGAGAAUUCAAAAUAGAUAUGUUGAAGAAACUAAAAAAUAUUCAAAAUGACACAGAAGAGGAAUUCAGAAUGCUAUUAGAUAUAUUUAACAAAGAAAUUGAAAUAAUUAAAAAGAAUCAAGCAGAAAUUCUGGAGCUGAAAAAUGCAAUUGGCAUACUUAAGUAUCAAAGUCAUUUAAUUGCAGAAUCGAUCAAGGAGAAGAGAGAAUUAGUAAGCUUGAAAACAAAGUAUUUGCAAAUACAUAGUCAAAGGAGACAAAAGAACAAGACUAAAAAGCACUGAAGCACACCUAUGAGAUCUAAAAAAUAAUCUCAAAAGGGCAAAUCUAAGAGUUACUGGCCUUAAAGAGGAGGCAGAGAAAGAGAUAGAGGUAGAAAGUUUAU